UAUCCAGGAGCAUGUCCCGGAGGAGGCCGGCGGCACGAGCGAUGAGGUGACCAACGCGACAGUUGGGUCCCUGCAGGCAGCAGCACGAGGCAUCAAGCAAAGGGGAUGCUGGCAGGGCACAAGGUUGCAGCAGAGAAAGUUGGCGUGCUGUUCAGAUCUUGGGAGGUGGCUUUGGAUCAGAAAACUUAUGAGCUUAUUGGGACCGAUUAUCCUGGUAAUAUGACACUAAAGGAUAGUGGCAGCAGGUGAGGUUAUUUGGCAGCUUUGUAUAUGGCACAACUAGCAAGGAGGAAGGGAGUUGGAGACAAUGGUGGUGCAAACGAUCCUACAAUGAUCAUAUAGCGACAACAACAGUCAGUCUGCAAUCUGCAAGUAUCUGCUAGGUUGGAAGGAGUGGUGAUGGUCUUGUGACAGUUGCUGCUUGAGCCGAGUACUAUCGCCACCGUUCCACUGUUGAUGCUGACGAGAACAGGGUGGGGGCAAUGGCCCUGCCAGGCUUUCCAUUUGUCUUGUUU